rnacentral:rRNA from 1 species
GACGAACGCUGGCGGCGUGCUUAACACAUGCAAGUCGAACGAUGAACCCGGAGCUUGCUCCGGUGGAUUAGUGGCGAACGGGUGAGUAACACGUGAGUAACCUGCCCUUGACUCUGGGAUAACUGAGUGAAACUGUAGCUAAUACCGGAUACGACCCUCGGCGGCAUCGCCAGGGGGUGGGAAGAAUUUCGGUCAAGGAUGGACUCGCGGCCUAUCAGCUAGGUGGUGAGGUAACGGCUCACCAAGGCGACGCAGGGUAGCCGGCCUGAGAGGAUGAUCGGCCAAACUGGGUUUGAGACGAGGCACAGACUCCUACGGGAGGCAGCAGUGGGGAAUAUUGCACAAUGGGCGCAAGCCUGAUACAGCAACGCCGCGUGGGGGAUGACGGCCUUCGGGUUGUAAACCUAUUUUAGUAGGGAAGAAGCGAAAGUGACGGUACCUGCAGAAAAAGCACGGGCUAACUACGAGCCAGCCGCCGCAGUAA